rnacentral:ncRNA from 1 species
UCUUAUGUAGAGAGGUGGAGGGACUGGCCCAGUGAAGCCUCGGCAACCAUUGAAUAUAUUUUUUAUAUUCAAACGGUGCCAAUUCCAGCAGAUUUUUUACAAAUCUGAUAGAUAAGA